rnacentral:lncRNA from 1 species
GAAUGAAGUGAAUUGAAGAAAAGAUUGUGUUAGCAAACUACAAUCCUCCCACUCAAAUUCCUAAGCACACACGUCCACAACCAAUUUCUCCAAAUUUCCUUCUACCAAUUAAAUAAAUCAUCCAUUAUAUAUACUUAUAUUCCAACAAAGUGGUAUCCGAGCCAUAAAAUCCUACCUGUGGAAUGGCCAACCUACAAUCGUUUCAAGUCCCCAUGCUCAACAAGAGCAACUUCGACAAUUGGAGCAUCAAGAUGAAGGCGCUAUUGGGAGCCCACGACGUUUGGGAGAUCGUGGAGAACGGCUACGAGGAGCCGCAGGACGAGGCCGCACUAUCCCAACAACAAAAGGAUAGAUUGCGAGACAUGAGAAAGAGAGACAAGAAGGCUCUCUGUCUCAUUUAUCAAGCGCUGGGGGAUGACGAUUUCGAGAAGAUCUCGAAUGCGAGUACCGCCAAGGAAGCAUGGGAGAAGCUCCAGAACGCGUGCAAAGGAGCGGAACAAGUAAAAAAGGUACGACUUCAAACUUUAAGAGGAGAGUUUGAGUCUUUGCAUAUGAAAGAGUCCGAAUCGAUUUCGGAUUAUUUUUCAAGAGUCUUGGCGGUGUCUAAUCAAAUGAAAAGAAAUGGUGAAAAAUUGGAGGAUGUUAGAAUUAUGGAGAAAAUAUUGCGCUCACUAACCCCAAAGUUUGAGCACAUUGUGGUGACGAUCGAAGAAACUAAAAAUUUGGAGGAGAUGACAAUCGAUCUCUUGUUGGGGUCGCUACAAGCAUAUGAGGAGAAGCAAAAGAAGAAGCAAGAAAUUUCAGAGCAACUUUUAAAGUUGCACGUAAGCUUGGAAGAGAAAGAAGAAGGUCCGAGCAAUGGCCAUGGAAAGUCCGGGAGAGGACAUGGCCAAGGGCAAGAUCGAGGCAGAGGCCGAGCACGUGGACGUGGUCGAGGACGAGGAGGCUUCGUCAACAAUGGUGAAAGAAAUGAGUUUACAAGUGGUCGGGGGAGGAGCAACCCGCAGUCGAGGUACGAUAAGUUUUCAAUAAAGUGUUAUAAUUGCCAUAAAUUUGGGCACUAUGCUUCCGAGUGCAGAAGUGAAAAAGUAAGGAUUGAAGAAAGGGCCAAUUAUGCCGAGAACACGAGCGAAGCAAAUGGUAGUGUGCUUCUGGCAUAUAAAGGAGAAGCUGGAAGAGAUGACACGUGGUACCUCGACACCGGUGCAAGCAACCACAUGUGCGGGAAGAGAAGCAUGUUCGUGGAGCUCGAUGAGUCGGUAAGCGGCAACGUCUCCUUUGGUGAUGAAUCUAAAAUUCCAGUUAAAGGAAAAGGGAAAAUUUUAAUUCGCUUGAAGAAUGGAAAUCAUGAAUUUAUUUCCAACGUUUAUUACGUGCCCAAUAUGAAAAAUAAUAUCUUGAGUUUGGGACAACUCUUGGAGAAAGGUUAUGAUAUUCACAUGAGAGAUUAUAACCUUUCAAUAAGAGAUGCCAAAAAUAAUCUUAUUGCCAAGGUGCCAAUGUCUAAAAAUAGAAUGUUCUUAUUGAAUAUUCGAAAUGACAUGGCAAAAUGCCUGAAAGCGUGUUACCAAGAUAAGUUUUGGUUGUGGCAUCUUCGGUUUGGGCACUUAAAUUUUGGCGGCUUGGAGUUGCUAUCAAAGAAAGAGAUGGUGAGAGGCCUACCAUCCAUCAAGCAUCCCGAUCAACUCUGCGAAGGUUGUCUACUCGGGAAGCAGUUCAGAAAGCCGUUUCCAAAGGAGUCAAGCUCAAGAGCUCAAAAGCCACUGGAGUUGAUUCAUGCUGACGUGUGUGGGCCGAUAAAUCCAAGCUCCCUCGGUAAAAAUAAUUAUUUUCUGCUAUUCAUUGAUGAUUUUUCUAGAAAAACGUGGGUAUAUUUCUUGAAGCAGAAGUCAGAAGUAUUUGAUGCAUUCAAGAAAUUCAAAGCUGCCGUCGAGAAGGAGAGCGGACGACAAAUCAAGGCCAUGAGGUCCGAUCGAGGCGGAGAAUUCACGUCAAGGGAGUUUCUAGAAUUUUGCGAAGCAAAUGGAAUUCGGCGGCCCCUGACAGUUCCGAGAUCCCCCCAACAGAACGGAGUGGCGGAAAGAAAAAAUAGGACAAUCAUGGAGAUGGCGAGGAGCAUGCUAAAGACGAAGAAUUUGCCUAAGGAGUUCUGGGCAGAAGCAGUGGCGUGCGCGGUGUACCUAUCCAACCGAUCGCCGACAAGGAGCGUGUGGGGAAUGACUCCACAAGAAGCCUGGAGCGGGAGAAAGCCAGGAAUUUCUCACCUAAAGGUAUUUGGGAGCAAAGCCUACGUGCAUGUACCAGAUGAGAGAAGGAAGAAGCUCGAUGAUAAAAGUGAAGCAUUCAUCUUUAUUGGGUACGACUCUAACUCUAAAGGCUAUAAGUUAUAUAAUCCAAAUACCGCUAGUUUAAGUUGAGCGUGGGGUUCUACGUAGAAGAGUUUGGAUUUCAUCCAAAUGGUUUUAUUCAUGAAUUAUGGCUCAACUGUCGAAAUUUAAGUGAUUAAGCACACAAAGUGUGAGAAAUGGAGAUACUGAUUAUAAAGGCGACCACAUUAGGAAAUUCACUUCUAGCGGAGAAUUGGGUCUGAUUGAAUUAUUUUCUUACCUCUAUGUUGUUUCGUAAACUUUAAGUUACUUGCAUGAUCUGAGAGAUAUAUGUUGAUUNUAGUAAAUAAAAUAAUUAAUUAAUAUUAAUAUAUAUAGUAUAGACUCAAACAAUACAAUACAACAAAUAGUACAUGUCGCAAGAUUAGAACAGAGAUUAGAAUAAAAUAGAAGCAAUAUUCUCUUAGAAAUCCACAACCUCAUAAUCGACAGAUCUAAUUUUCAAAUUGAGGCAGCAAUCAUCUCACUGAGCGAGGAAAGGAAUACAUGGAACCAAAACAUUAAUUGCAUUAAUUUCAAGAAUAAAUUGUUCAAUAUUAGUACUAUUUAUUAGAAAUCCAAUUAAUAAUGCUCCCAGUCAUUCCGAAGCUGAACUUAAUUAAGAAUUUCAUUCAUGAUGAUCAACGCUACACGAUAGACAAAAUAUCGAAACCCCACCCAACUAUAAACGCAUGAUUCUACAGUCAACUACCAAAUUCAAAUAAAUUCUCAAGAAAACAUUGAUAAGAUCAAAUCGAACUAUUAAACGGAUAAACAAAUACGUAUUCAGAUUUCUCAUGCAUGUCAUGCAUAUUGGUUGCUAUGUUACAAAAAGGAUCUAAAAUUAAAUAUAGGCUAAACAAUGAAAUAUAUUCCAAACUAUUUACAAGUUAAUUUUUCAAUUUUAUCCUAAAAUAACCUUCAACUAGAACUUGUGGAUAUUCAGGCGGACUAUAAAAAACAGUAGUUAGAGCACCCGCAACGCGGGUACUCGAGUGGGUACUCGAGGAGAGGGAGGCGGUCGAGGAGGGCGAUGCGGGGGGAGCUCCUCGAGGAGUACCCGAGUUAUCGGGUAUGCUCGAUAGGGGGGAAUGGAAGGCGCGUGCAAUGCACGCGCCCAAUUAAAAAAAAAAAAAAAAAAAAAAAGGAAAAAUUGGAAAAUUCGAAUUUUAUUCGAAUUUUGACUGCACCUCCUCGAUUUGCGCACCUUUGACCGACCGUUUUCUUAAUUUUUUUUUUUUCCUCUUCUCUUACUUUAAAAAACCCCCUUCUCCCAAAUCUUCACACCUCUUCUUCUCCUAAUUUUCUCUCUUCACACCNNNNNNNNNNNNNNNNNNNNNNNNNNNNNNNNNNNNNNNNNNNNNNNNNNNNNNNNNNNNNNNNNNNNNNNNNNNNNNNNNNNNNNNNNNNNNNNNNNNNNNNNNNNNNNNNNNNNNNNNNNNNNNNNNNNNNNNNNNNNNNNNNNNNNNNNNNNNNNNNNNNNNNNNNNCAUCCAUCAAGCAUCCCGAUCAACUCUGCGAAGGUUGUCUACUCGGGAAGCAGUUCAGAAAGCCAUUCCCAAAGGAGUCAAGCUCAAGAGCUCAAAAGCCACUGGAGUUGAUUCAUGCUGACGUGUGUGGGCCAAUAAAUCCAAGCUCACUCGGUAAAAAUAAUUAUUUUCUGCUAUUCAUUGAUAAUUUUUCUAGAAAAACGUGGGUAUAUUUCUUAAAGCAGAAGUCAGAAGUAUUUGAUGCAUUCAAGAAAUUCAAAGCUACCAUCGAGAAGGAGAGCGGAUGACAAAUCAAGGCCCUGAGGUCCGAUCGAGGUGGAGAAUUCACAUCAAGGGAGUUUCUAGAAUUUUGCGAAGCAAAUGGAAUUCGACGGCCCCUGACAGUUCCGAGAUCUCCCCAACAAAAUGGAGUGACAGAAAGAAAAAAUAGGACAAUCAUGGAGAUGGCAAGGAGCAUGCUAAAGACGAAGAAUCUGCCUAAAGAGUUUUGGGCCGAAGCAGUGGCGUGCGCGGUGUACCUAUCCAACCGAUCGCCGACAAGGAGCCUGUGGGGAAUGACUCCACAAGAAGCCUGGAGCGGUAGAAAGCCAGGAAUUUCCCACCUAAAGGUAUUUGGGAGCAAAGCCUACGUGCAUGUACCAGAUGAGAGAAAGAAGAAGCUCGACGAUAAAAGCGAAGCAUUCAUCUUUAUCGGGUACGACUCUAACUCUAAAGGCUAUAAGUUAUAUAAUCCAAAUACCAAGAAAACAGUGAUAAGUCGAGAUGUGGAGUUCGACGAAGAAGGAGUAUGGGAUUUUAAUCCCAGUGGUGACUUCACCUUCAUCCCACAAUUCGAAGAUGAAAGUACAGUCGAGCAAGUUGGAGAAGUCCAACAAGAGGUAGUGACUCCGCCAGCUUCACC